UGAAACAUACUGCGGAUCGGAUAUUCGAAGACUUGAUGUGCAAUAGCCUAAGUAGCUGGCCAGGUUUCUGAGUUUAAAACCGAGUAGGAUAGAAUAUUCUGCAGUGCCGUAUCUUGCGUUUUGCUGUAUAUAUCCAGGAUUUCCUUCUGCUGUGAGAUGAGACCUCCUUGAAUGACAGGUUGGAAGGGUUUUGGUGGAUGGAAUUUAUUACUCCUAUUGAAUGUUUCAUCUCCGGUUGUUGGUAUGACAUUAAACACUGGGAAGUUACUGUAUUCAAUAGUAGUUGAGUUCAUCUCAACCUUUGGAUCAACCCGUUUUUUCCCUCCUAAAGCACCACCUAUCACAGCUGGACUGAUGAUCGGAGAAGACGGCAUGAAACCCAGCUGUUCCAGUUUGUUGUCUUGGUCAAUCUGAUAUGUAAAAUAUACCUCUGCAUCUGGUCCUCUCAUGACUCAUGAAGACUUUCCACGGAUGGAGAAUGUAGUGCAGCACGCAUGAAGAAGGUAGUGCAGUAGUAUAGGUGAGCUAAGUUGCUAACGAUUGGGUUAAUUGCUAGUUCAAUUUCUAAAUCUGUUGGCAUGGAGGUUUCAAGUAGUAGAGAUGAUCCAUGCACCGAUGAUGAGAGUCGUGAUGUUAAUGUUGGGACACUAAGUGGUCGAAGAACCAAAGGUUGGAAUGACCUUCGUUUCGGAAGAUGAGGUAUACACUUUCUACCAUUAUACUUGAACACACACAUACAUUAAGUCCGAGAAAAGCAAGAUAUUUUAGAUGCAAUAGGAAGAUGGAUCCAGUCGUAAAGAAGCAAUUUGAUGUAGGAGAUAGUACUGGUAUAAAUAGGCGUGUGCCCGGAUGUCAUGUGGAAGCACUAAAGAUGGAAGUCGUAAAGUGCACAGCCCUUUGGUGGUAAGAAGAAAAGGGAGGCCACUAUCAAAGUGUAAAGUGUCUAUAGCGGAAAAGGCGGUUGAUAAAUGUAAAGCAAGAAAACAAAAUUAGGUAGGCCUCAUGAUUCCUACGAUAUACUGGGUGAUGGACUUCAAUAAUUGUUAUGUAAUAUUAGUAACUUGAGUGUUGUAAUAUUUGUAAUUAGUGAUGGAAAAGAAACUGUUGGCAAAUAUAUUUGUAAUAUAUUUGUAACUAGUUCUAUUGGAAAAGGCACUAUCAACAUAGAAUCUUUAAUCUUGUAAUAUACAAUGGGUUCCUUUUGAUGGAAUGAUAGUCCUUAUGCUUAUUGUUUA